rnacentral:lncRNA from 1 species
CACGGGAAGCGUGGGGAAGGGGCAUGAACGGGGCGAAAUGGCCCUGGACCGCUCCAGCCGGCCCCUCCUCACCCGGGCAGACCAUCGAACCUGCAGCGCCUCCCACACACGCCCUGCAGCAUACAAUCGCUGGCCGGGCAACAGCACCCAUCUGGGAGGGCUUUGGUUUCAGGAGCCGUCCUGCGUCACCUGGUGUCUCUCCAGAGGCACAGUCAACGUGUGCCCAGUUCCCUCGUCCAUCUGCUGUGUGUUGCCUGUGGGUCAUCUGCUUCCCUGGCCUUGUGCAGCUGAGUCUCUUCCCAGGUCCUGCUGCGAGGAUCCACCGCUAUGGUCUAGGUAAGUAUCCCCCAAAGGACACUUACCUAGAUCGAGUGGGAGACUCGACCCUGCACCUGUGGCACUACUGAAAAAUAGUGUGACCUUUAGGGAGCAAGGCCUAGUGAGAGGAAGUCAGCUCACCGGGGCAGGCUUGAAGGGGACAUUGGGAUCCUGGCCCCUCCUGUCUCUUUCUCUGCUUUCUGGAUGCCAUGAGAUGAACACCUUCCUCUGUCAUGCACUCCGGCCAUGAUGUGCUGAUUCACCACGGUCACCGAAGCAACAGGCCAACCUACCAUGGGCUGAAACCUGCAAAACUGAACCAAAAUAAACCUUUUUUUCUUUUAAGUUGGUUAGCUCAGGUAUUUUGUUACAGUAAUGGAAAACUGACAGACACACCUUCCCA